UUCCUACGGGACGCAGCAGUGAGGAAUAUUGGUCAAUGGGCGGGAGCCUGAACCAGCCAAGUCGCGUGAAGGAAGAAGGUACUUAGUAUUGUAAACUUCUUUUGUCGGGGAACAAAGGCGGAGACGCGUCUCCGGAUGAGUGUACCCGAAGAAAAAGCAUCGGCUAACUCCGUGCCAGCAGCCGCGGUAAUACGGAGGAUGCGAGCGUUAUCCGGAUUUAUUGGGUUUAAAGGGUGCGAAGGCGGAAUAUCAAGUCAGCGGUAAAAAUUCGGGGCUCAACCCCGUCGUGCCGUUGAAACUGAUGU
rnacentral:rRNA from 1 species